rnacentral:rRNA from 1 species
CCUACGGGUGGCAGCAGUGGGGAAUAUUGGGCAAUGGGCGCAAGCCUGACCCAGCAACGCCGCGUGAAGGAAGAAGGCUCUCGGGUUGUAAACUUCUUUUCUCAGGGACGAAGCAAGUGACGGUACCUGAGGAAUGAGCCACGGCUAACUACGUGCCAGCAGCAGCGGUAAUACGUCGGUGGCAAGCGUUAUCCGGAUUUACUGGGUGUAAAGGGCGUGUAGGCGGGACGGUAAGUCAGAUGUGAAACCCAUGGGCUCAACCUAUGGCUUGCAUUUGAAACUGUAGUUCUUGAGUACUGGAGAGGCAGACGGAAUUCCUGGUGUAGCGGUGAAAUGCGUAGAUAUUAGGAGGAACACCGGUGGCGAAGGCAGUCUGCUGGACAGCAACUGACGCUGAGGCGCGAAAGCGUGGGGAGCAAACAGGAUUAGAUACCCUAGUAGUC